UGCAUUUUCAACUUCAGGAGGAGGACAAGAUCCGCCCACGGCCACCACGACUGGAUCCCAUUUCGGAGAAGGAGUGCAUCAUGUCUUCUGAAAAGACUAUUGCAGUUAUACAAGGUAUGAAAUU